GAUGAACGCUGGCGGCGUGCCUAAUACAUGCAAGUCGAGCGAAUGACGAGGAGCUUGCUCCUCUGAUUUAGCGGCGGACGGGUGAGUAACACGUGGGUAACCUGCCUGUAAGACGGGGAUAACUCCGGGAAACCGGAGCUAAUACCGGAUGAUACCGAGAAGCGCCUGCUUCUUUUUUGAAAGUCGGUUUCGGCUGACGCUUGCAGAUGGCGCCGCGGCGCAUUAGCUAGUUGGUGAGGUAACGGCUCACCAAGGCGACGAUGCGUAGCCGGCCUGAGAGAGUGAUCGGCCACACUGGGACUGAGACACGGCCCAGACUCCUACGGGAGGCAGCAGUAGGGAAUCUUCGGCAAUGGACGAAAGUCUGACCGAGCAACGCCGCGUGAGCGAUGAAGGCCUUCGGGUCGUAAAGCUCUGUUGUCAGAGAAGAACAAGUACCGGAGUAACUGCCGGUACCUUGACGGUACCUGACCAGAAAGCCACGGCUAACUACGUGCCAGCCGCCGCAGUAAAAC
rnacentral:rRNA from 1 species